UUUUUUAUAUGGAGUUCAAUUAGUUUUUCAGUCAUAUGAAAGGAAAAUGCAGGAACCCACAUAACUGCAUAAUGUAGAUGAAAGUCAUGAAACUUAAUAUGUAAAUUUCUACGUAUUGUGCUAUUAAGUUUUUUCAGAUAGUGGGAAUUAUUUAGUAGUCUAGUUAUCGCGCAGAACAAGGUUCAAAUCCUGGACAACCAUUGCUGCAAAUUUUACCCCACCCCCACCCCAAAAUUAUGGAUGAGAAUCAAACUUGGAUCAUCAAGCAGAGGCAAGUUACCAUACUGCUUGGCUAUGGUAGGUUUAAUUAUCAGUAAUAUGGAUUGGAGGGACAAUUAAUAUGGAUCGGAGGGAGUAUGUUUCUACGACAGAAGCUAUUGCGUUAAAUAAGGGAAAAGAAGGUCAUAAUCCCGAGCUUUCUGGGAACUUCUCCAGGGAUAUUUGUGUUAUUUCCGAGAAACUCCAAUAGCCAGAGAACAACCCAUGUGUAGAAAAA